rnacentral:lncRNA from 1 species
GCGUUGUAAUCCAUUACAAAUCUCUUUAAUCAGGACAAGGAGAACUGUGUCUGGAGAUCCACAUGAUAUAAUAAU